CGGACGGGUGAGUAAUGUAUGGGGAUCUGCCUGAUGGCGGGGGAUAACUACUGGAAACGGUAGCUAAUACCGCAUAAUGUCUACGGACCAAAGCGGGGGGACCGUCCGGGCCUCGCGCCAUCAGAUGAACCCAUAUGGGAUUAGCUAGUAGGUAAGGUAACGGCUUACCUAGGCGACGAUCCCUAGCUGGUCUGAGAGGAUGAUCAGCCACACUGGGACUGAGACACGGCCCAG
rnacentral:rRNA from 1 species